AGUAACGCGUGAGGAACCUGCCUUUCAGAGGGGGACAACAGUUGGAAACGACUGCUAAUACCGCAUAACGCAUGGGUAUCGCAUGGUAUCUGUGCCAAAGAUUUAUCGCUGAGAGAUGGCCUCGCGUCUGAUUAGCUAGUUGGUGAGGUAACGGCCCACCAAGGCGACGAUCAGUAGCCGGACUGAGAGGUUGGCCGGCCACAUUGGGACUGAGAUACGGCCCAGACUCCUACGGAAGGCAGCAG
rnacentral:rRNA from 1 species